AUACUUACCUGGUGUCGGGCUAUCCGGUGAUCAGAGAGGCCGGGGUCCCGUGCCGAGGCCGGCCAUUGCACUUCGACUGGUUGACGCACGCCACUUUCCCAAACUGGGAUAGAUGGGGCAUAUAAUUUUUGGUAGUGGGGCUUGGCGUACGCGCCAGCCCCUG
rnacentral:snRNA from 1 species